rnacentral:misc_RNA from 1 species
CCGCGCAUCUUUACAAUCUGAAGUACUUCCUCGAUCAGGGUCUGGUGAAGGCCCCGCUGUUUGUGCAGACGGUGUUCGGUUUGCAGGGCGGCACAGGUGCCCAUCCGGAAGAUGUGCUGCACAUGAAGCGCACGGCGGACCGGCUGUUUGGCGACCAGUAUGUAUGGUCUGUGCUGGGAGCGGGCCGUAACCAGUUGCCGAUCGCUGC